UAGCAUGGUGAGGACACGUCCUAAGAAGGUCAUUGAAUCUCUCCCAAGAUUCAUGAAACUGUUCUCCAUCAUGUUGGGUAAAUCCGGUGAUCUCUUGUCUGUGA